AAAUAAAAGCUUAUAAAUUUUUGUAAAGAGUCUCAAAUUUUAUUGAACGUAUAUUUAGUUUCAAAGUAUUUCUAUAUUAUAAACAAAAAGCGUUUUUUUUUUAUUUCAAAAUCAUUUUAGUACUUGCUGGGUUUUUUCUCGUCUAGGGACUCAAAGUUGACGCCCUAAAGCAAAGUAAAAGCUAUCUUAAAAUAGAGUCUGAAGUAUAAUAAUGGAGUUAGAAUUGACUUUACUUUGAAAAUAUAAGAUUUUAACUCGAUCAAGACCAUCCGAAGGCAAGGAAAAGUUUUAUUAUCUGUUGACUAGAAGUUUCUGUACUCGGUCAUUUCUGCAAACUGUCGACUUGUGGAAUGAAUUGUGACAGAUUUGGCACUAUAAGAAGCACGCUAAAACAUUUAAGCGGUAGAAACGACAUAUUAAAGUGGAGAGGUUCAAACUGAAUGGAACAUGCAGAUUUGUCUCGUAAUUUCGUUCGUAAGCCUUUACGUCAGUUUUCAUAAUUUGAUUGCAACAAAGUUACAUGAUGCGUUCAAAUUUUGUAACGAGAUGGCUAUUCAGUCGCAGAUGAAGUUACUAUUAUUUUAUAGUUCUGUGAUGGGCGCUGUAAAUUGUUUAGUGCCAUUAAAGCCCGGGAUACAUCCGUGCAUAUUUUAUAAUGUAAUUAAAUUUGAUUGUUAUGUUGCACGGAUGCUACAGGCAUAUUUCGAAAAGUCCAUUCAAUGCUUUAACGUGUGUUCAUUCAAACGUAUUAAUUCGUAUAUUCGUUGAUUACACAUAAUUACUAAAGGUUACAUGUUCUUAUCUAUCAUUUAUAAUAGUUAAAUUUGAUAGUAAUAAAUAAUAAUUUAAUAAAAAAAA